rnacentral:rRNA from 1 species
UACGGAAGGCAGCGGUGGGGAAUAUUGCACAAUGGGCGCAAGCCUGAUGCAGCCAUGCCGCGUGUAUGAAAAAGGCCUUCGGGUUGUAAAGUACUUUCAGUCGUGAGGAAGGUGUUAAGGUUAAUAACCUUAGCAAUUGACGUUAGCGACAGAAGAAGCACCGGCUAACUCCGUGCCAGCAGCCGCGGUAAUACGGAGGGUGCGAGCGUUAAUCGGAAUUACUGGGCGUAAAGGGCACGCAGGCGGUUAAUUAAGUUGGAUGUGAAAUCCCCGGGCUUAACCUGGGAAUGGCAUUCAAGACUGGUUAGCUAGAGUCUUGUAGAGGGGGUAGAAUUCCGAUGUGUAGCGGUGAAAUGCGUAGAGAUGUGGAGGAAUACCGGUGGCGAAGGCGGCCCCUGGACAAAGACUGACGCUCAUGUGCGAAAGCGUGGGGAGCAAACAGGGAUUAGAUACC